rnacentral:lncRNA from 1 species
AUAUCAUCAGAGAAUCCCCACGAACUGUGAAGCCAUCUAUUAGCAGGAGCUGGAAUCACACCCCGUGUGAGAUUAAUCCGAGUCAUAAUACAAAAAGUAAUCUCUCUUAGAAGAACACACUCAUGUGUAGGCCUUAUGGCCAUGAACAAUUAUGAAAUUUCAAUAAAGAAAUGUUCUUAUGAUAUCGUUAUGAAUGGUGUUACUGUGAUGAAUGGACUAUUGAGCAAUGACAUCUACUUGUUAUCACAACCUGUUAAUGUAAUGUACACGUCAAGUAAGCGUCCU